CGUCACUGUGUCAUGUCGACGGGCAGCGUGCGCCAUCUUGAAACGAAACCAAAUCACGGGCUGAUCCCGCUCGCCUCCGCUCACUCUCAUUCCGCGCUCAUUCGCACUGUCCGCCCGGCUGUGGUCCAGGAUUAGCCGCGCUGAAGGCUCGAGGAACAGGCGCAGGCGAUGAUGGCAGGGGCUGGUGGAGGCAAUGAUUUCCAGUGGUGCUUCUCCCAGGUCAAAGGAGCCGUAGAUGAAGAUGUGGCAGAAGCGGACAUUAUCUCAACGGUUGAAUUUAACUAUUCGGGGGAGUUAUUAGCCACAGGAGACAAAGGGGGAAGAGUUGUCAUAUUUCAGCGAGAACAGGAGAGUAAAAACCGCCUGCUCUCAAGAGGGAAUACAACG